rnacentral:rRNA from 1 species
AGCGAACGCUGGCGGCAGGCCUAACACAUGCAAGUCGAACGAACUCUUCGGAGUUAGUGGCGGACGGGUGAGUAACACGUGGGAACGUGCCUUUAGGUUCGGAAUAACUCAGGGGAACUUGAGCUAAUACCGGAUGUGCCCUUCGGGGGAAAGAUUUAUCGCCUUUAGAGCGGCCCGCGUCUGAUUAGCUAGUUGGUGAGGUAAAGGCUCACCAAGGCGACGAUCAGUAGCUGGUCUGAGAGGAUGAUCAGCCACAUUGGGACUGAGACACGGCCCAAACUCCUACGGGAGGCAGCAGUGGGGAAUCUUGCGCAAUGGGCGAAAGCCUGACGCAGCCAUGCCGCGUGAAUGAUGAAGGUCUUAGGAUUGUAAAAUUCUUUCACCGGGGACGAUAAUGACGGUACCCGGAGAAGAAGCCCCGGCUAACUUCGUG